UGAAGUAAGUAAGGGCGUACGGUGAAUGCCUUGGUGCCAACAGGCGAAGAAGGACGCGGCAAGCUGCGAAAAGCCUCGGGAAGCUGCAAGCAAGCGAUGAUCCGGGGAUAUCCGAAUGGGGUAACCUGAUCGAGGCAAUACUCGAUCGUUCAUACCUGAAUACAUAGGGUAUGAAACGCGAAACCCGCUGAAGUGAAACAUCUCAGUAAGCGGAGGAAAAGAAAGAGAAAUCGAUUCCGUAAGUAGUGGCGAGCGAAAGCGGAUGGAGCCCAAACCGAAGGUAUUCCUUCGGGGUUGUAGGACCACGUCAUAUUCGACCAUACUGGAUAGUAGAACAGCCUGGAAAGGCUGGCCGGAGAAGGUGAAAGCCCUGUAGACGAAAUCCAGAGUGGGAAUUAGUGGUAUCCUGAGUAAUACAUCACACGUGGAACGAUGUAUGAACCCGCGCGGACCACCGCGCAAGGCUAAAUACUAGUUGGCGACCGAUAGUGAACAAGUACCGCGAGGGAAAGGUGAAAAGAACCGCUGUGAGCGGAGUGAAAUAGAACCUGAAACCGUAUGUCUACAAAGUGUCAGAGCAGAGCAAUCUGCGAUGGCGUGCCUUUUGUUUAAUGAGUCUGCGAGUCAGUGUUUGUGGCAAGACUAAGGGCUUCCGGCCCGGAGUCGCAGCGAAAGCAAGUCCGAACAGGGCGCAAUAAGUCGCAGGUACUGGACCCGAAGCGGAGGUGACCUACCCUUGGCCAGGUUGAAGCAUGGGUAAAACCAUGUGGAGGACCGAACAGGUGAACGUUGAAAAGUUCUCUGAUGAGCUGAGGGUAGGAGUGAAAGGCUAAUCAAACCCCGUGAUAGCUGGUUCUCUUCGAAAUGCAUUUAGGUGCAGCGUCACGUGCUGAUGCGCGGGGGUAGAGCACUGACAAGGCUAGGGGGCACACCCGCUUACCAAACCUUAUCAAACUCCGAAUACCGUGCAAUGGAACGUGGCAGUGAGACAGUGGGGGAUAAGCUUCAUUGUCGAGAGGGAAACAACCCAGACCAGCAGCUAAGGUGCCUAAAUAACGCUCAGUGGAAAGGAUGUGGGAUUACACAGACAGUGAGGAUGUUGGCUUAGAAGCAGCCACCAUUUAAAAAAUGCGUAAUAGCUUACUCAUCGAGUGAUCCUGCGCCGAAAAUGAUUGGCGAUCAAGCGUUAUACCGAAGCUCUGGACUUUGCCGCAAGGCAGAGUGGUAGAAGAGCGUUGCAUGCGCGUCGAAGGGCGAUGGCGACUGACCCUGGAGCACAUGCAAGUGAGUAUGCAGACAUGAGUAACGUUAAGCCGGGUGAAAUCCCCGGCCGCCGUAAACCCGAGGUUUCCAGGGCAACGUGUUUCGUCCCUGGGUUAGCCGGGACCUAAGCCGAGGCCGAGAGGCGUAGGCGAUGGACAUCAGGUUAAUAAUCCUGAGCUCGCAACCCUUAAACUGGGGGGACGCAUGAGAAAAGAUGACUAGGUUAUUGAAUUCCGAGUUGAGUCUACGGACUCAGCGCAUCAUUGGAUCGAGUGCCAAGAAAAGCCCCAGCGUAUGCUAAGCGACCCGUACCGCAAACCGACACAGGUGGGUGGGUAGAAUAUACCAAGGCGUAAGAGUGAAACCUGGUUAAGGAACUCGGCAAAUUAGCCCCGUAACUUCGGAAGAAGGGGUGCCUGCAGCGAUGCAGGCCGCAGAGAAAUGGCCCAACCGACUGUUUAUCAAAAACACAGCACUCUGCAAAGACGCAAGUCGAAGUAUAGGGUGUGACACGUGACCAAUGCCGAAAGAUUAAGGCAAGGGGUUAGCCGCAAGGCGAAGCUCUAAACCCAAGUCCCGGUGAAUGUCGGCCGUAACUAUAACGGUCCUAAGGUAGCGAAAUUCCUUGUCGGGUAAGUUCCG
rnacentral:rRNA from 1 species